AGAGUUCCCAGCAGCCUCACCAGUGUUUCUCUACUUGGUGCCAAGACUCCAUUGCUGCAAUGACUUCAUGACGACAGAUGAUC